rnacentral:rRNA from 1 species
AUUGAACGCUGGCGGCAGGCCUAACACAUGCAAGUCGAGCGAGCGGCGGACGGGUGAGUAAUGUAUGGGGACUGCCCGAUAGAGGGGGAUAACUACUGGAAACGGUAGCUAAUACCGCAUACUAUCGGAUAACCCAUAUGGGAUUAGCUAGUAGGUGAGGUAAUGGCUCACCUAGGCGACGAUCCCUAGCUGGUCUGAGAGGAUGAUCAGCCACACUGAGACUGAGACAGGGCCCAGACUCCGACGGAGGCAGCAGUGGGGAAGCUUGCACAAUGUGCGCAAGCUUGAUGUAGCCAUGCCGCGAGUAUGAAGAAGGCCCUAGGGUUGUAAAGUACUUUCAGUGGGUAGGCGUUACCGACAGAAGAAGCACCGGCUAACUCCGUGCCAGCAGCCGCGGUAAUUC